rnacentral:rRNA from 1 species
AGAACGAACGCUGGCGGCAUGCCUAACACAUGCAAGUCGAACGUGAUCCAUGACUUCGGUUGUGGUGAAAGUGGCAAACGGGUGAGUAACGCGUGGGAAUCUGCCCAGAGGUAGGGAAUAACCGCGGGAAACUGCGGCUAAUACCCUAUGUGCCCUACGGGGCAAAGAUUUAUCGCCUUUGGAGGAGCCCGCGUCGGAUUAGGUAGUUGGUAGGGUAACGGCCUACCAAGCCUACGAUCCGUAGCUGGUCUGAGAGGAUGAUCAGCCACACUGGGACUGAGAUACGGCCCAGACUCCUACGGGAGGCAGCAGUGGGGAAUAUUGGACAAUGGGGGCAACCCUGAUCCAGCAAUGCCGCGUGAGUGAUGAAGGCCUUCGGGUUGUAAAGCUCUUUCGGCGGGGAAGAUGAUGACGGUACCCGCAGAAGAAGCCCGGCUAACUUCGUGCCAGCAGCCGC